rnacentral:rRNA from 1 species
GACAGAGGGGGCAAGCGUUGUUCGGAAUUACUGGGAGUAAAGGGCGCGUAGGCGGCCAUCUAAGUCAGACGUGAAAUCCCCCGGCUUAACCUGGGAACUGCGUCUGAUAUUGGACGGCUUGAGUAUGGGAGAGGGAUGUAGAAUUCCAGGUGUAGCGGUGAAAUGCGUAGAUAUCUGGAGGAAUACCGGUGGCGAAGGCGGCAUCCUGGACCAUUACUGACGCUGAGGCGCGAAAGCUAGGGGAGCAAACGGG